GAUCUGGCUCAGGACGAACGCUGGCGGCGUGCUUAACACAUGCAAGUCGAACGAGAAUCUACGGAUCGAGGAUUCGUCCAAGAGAAGUAGAGGACAGUGGCGGACGGGUGAGUAACGCGUGAGGAACCUGCCUUUCAGAGGGGGACAACAGUUGGAAACGACUGCUAAUACCGCAUGACACAUUGGGGUCGCAUGGCCUUGAUGUCAAAGAUUUAUCGCUGAAAGAUGGCCUCGCG
rnacentral:rRNA from 1 species